CGGCAAAAGCUCAAAUUUGAAAUCUGGCUCUUUCAGGGUCCGAGUUGUAAUUUGUAGAAGAUGUUUCGGGUGUGGUUCCGGUCUAAGUUCCUUGGAACAGGACGUCAUAGAGGGUGAGAAUCCCGUAUGUGACCGGUUACUUUCGCCCAUGUGAAACUCUUUCGAC
rnacentral:rRNA from 1 species